AUCAAGUCAGGAAUAGGCCUUGUAUUCCACUUCACAGGAGAAAAAGACUGUUUAAUCUAGUGCGGAGUAAGGGUCCGUACUAAAAAGGAGUAGAUCUCCUUCCAUGGAAUCUCAGUGCUCUUCACUGGGGAAGAGGUGCUGCAGUUAGCAUGAAGCAGAGGGCAGAUCUUCCUCCACCGCUGUGUCCUUUGGGGAUGGAUCUGCAGGUUAGUUUACUUUUGCACAGAGCAGGAAGACCAACCUAUCUGCUUGCAUCCCAGGAGGACCUUUGGCUGCUCUGCUUCAUGCCCCAUACAGGACACAGCUGGAUGUUGCACACUUGCUAGAGCCUUCCUGAAGAAUCAAGAAGUUUGGCAGCAAUGUGCAUCGGACUAACUCACAACCAGACAGUAUACAAUGCCUUAGCCAAGGCCAGAGGCUCAACAGGAUUGGCAAGGGCAGUCCUUGCUCAAUGAACUAAAAGCUUCUCACUUUACCUCUGUGUCUUCACACCUUUGUUCCUCAUCGCCUGAGUAGGUCUUGGGGUUUCAGACCACAGUGCAGCGGCAAGGUAGUGUCACUUGUCACUGGGAGCUGAGAUAGCUCAGGGCACAUGUCUGCUGGGAAGCUGGCUAGAGUCUGCCACGGUAUGCUCAGCUCCUCACAAGGAGCAAGGAGUGGUCUAAGUGAUCACAGCAGUGAUGAUGAUUAAGGAUUAUAGCGCAAGUUCUCUUCUUCAUUGUUACAGUAGUUUUUUUAAUUGUGGCUGUAGAGAAGUUAGAACGUUCUUUGUUUGGCUUAAUACUAUGACCACCCUUAGAUUAUUUUUUAAAAAUACAUUUAGGAGCUUCUCUCAAAAAUAAGUCUAUGGGAUAGAGGAUCAGGGCACUCAGAGGUACCUUGGCUUCCUUACUUCAGGAGAAUACCAAUGGGUUGUAGUUUGAGACUUUCAUAUACAUUAUGGACUUUAGGUCCUUUCUCUGAAGGUACUGGAUUUGGCUAUUGUCACAAAUGUACCAAGUGUCUGAUUCAGUCUGAUUUUGUCUUAAGGUAUAUGUGCUGUUGGAGAGGGAACAGGAUAACACAAUGGAAUUGCCUUUAUUCGUAUGUGCGAAUCAUAGAAUCAUAGAAUAUUUUUGCUUCAUUGGCCAUCUUUGUCAAGUAUCCACCCACCUAUAAUAAGGAGACAUAGAAAUGUCACAAAAAUAAAGGCUCAAAUGCUUAACACACUGAAGGCUUGAUUCAGAUCUACUUUAAUAAAAUUUCCUUCCAAGUCAGCUAGCAGCAUCACAGGUCUGAAUCUGAUGACAAUGCAGAAUAAAAGAAUUUAAUAAAAAACAACAAAAAUGAGACAUGAUAAUCAUUAGACAUACAAAAAAGAAACCAUGAUACGUAGCGAUCUAUAAUUUCAGAAAUUAUUAUCAUUGUUUUUGUCCAAUUUCCCUACAUUACCCGAAGCACUUUAAGCUAAAGCAUUUGUGUAAGUGAGAUUCUUCCCUUAAGGAACAGCUCUGACCUUACAUUUUCAGCAAUUCAAUGGCAGAAAAUAUAUUUUCUUCCUACUUUUGGUUUGGGAAAAAGAAAACCCUCACCUUGCUUUCUACUUUAAGAUUCACUUGCUAUUAUGCCUUGUAGCUAUCAAUUCUGAUUUACUUCGCUGUACAGAAAAAAAUUGCCUUCUAGGAGGGUACUUUAAAAAAAGUACACCAUAAUUCCUCCAUACCAUUGACAUUUGUUGAACCUUCACUGUUAUAUUGGAUUGGAAAUUUUGAUAACGUCUGUACUUCAUCUUCAUAUCAAUGAGAGCCUGAUGAUCAAUUUAUUUUCUUGUCAAAUACGAUCCUUAAUGGGUUGCAUUUUGUGUGGUUGACUAUUCUGAUAAAAUCAAUUUAAUUAACCACCAAAAUCUGACAGAACACAUUCAGGAAGUGUCAUUCAUUUCAAAAGAAUAAUAAUUUCAAUCAAAGACAAGUUGCCAACCAUUCUAAUGAGGUAUCUCAACAUUAGUGAGAUUUCAUGCUAAUGAUCAAAAUGAGAUAUUUCAGGGUUUAUGACAAAUUAUGAUUAUAAACCAGAUAGUGCAUUAAUACUAGGGUGCGCUGUCAGUAUUUAUUCACCAAACAACCAGUGUUUGAAGCAAAUUCUUAUGAGUUCCUGCAUGCAUAAGUUGGUAGGGCAAAGAGGGAAACAAAUUACCCUCUGCUCAGCUUGUCAUUCAGAAGCUUGAAGUUUUACCUUCGCUUACCACAGGGAGCCAUGCAAUACCCUUACAGCAAGUUUUGUACUUGGUGGGGAGUAGGUUCCCCAUGACCACAUAAGCAGUGGUGUGCGCAGCUUACUGGAGUUUACAUUGCUGUACUGUGCUAUCACUCCAUAUUAUUAUAGUGGGAGGUUGAAUAUCAGCAGAAUCUAUUACAAUACUGGAUGAUUAAAGUACUUCUUGACUUUCCACAAGAUUUUAAAUUUGGGAUGAAGGAGGAGGGGAACACAGUGCGUGAGAGAAACACAGAAAGAAAAGAAGAGGAUUAUGCUUCAGCUGCCUUUGUGAUAAAAGAGUGGUAAUUAGUUUCAGUAAAAUCCCAUAAUAGUUUUUUUGUACUUUGCAGGAAACCAAAUGGCAGACAGAUAAAACAAAUUACUUUACUCAGGGCAAUUAGCAAGCCAUUACAAGGUUCUGCCUAUGUUUCCCCAUGACUGCAAAGAUCAUGCCCUAUUUUUCCAAGAACUUUAUGUUCCUGAAAAUCUCAUCCAUUUUAAGCCUAUCAUUGUGCGUAUAACAGCCACUGCGUAUCCCUGAACACAGCCCGCAUUGUAGUAGAGGGCCCAAGAGAUAAUGAGUUCUGUGAUCAUGCUGAGGAGAGAGGGAAGUUUUAACAUUUGCUGCUUACUCAUCUGAAAUAAACCUCCAGUGUUACUAUUGUGCGCGUGACCCUCUGACACUUAAUACAAUGAAAACAUCUGAGUUUUAUAGUCCUGCAUAUAGGUUAUGCACCAGCAUUGAAACUCUGCACUGCAGAUUUAAGAGUUCGUACAUUCAUGGCUAAUUCUUGAUAGUGACC
ensembl:lncRNA